UCCUCGGUAGCUCAGCCGGUAGAGCAAGUGACUGUUAAUCACUGGGUCNNCGACCUUCCAAAUCGGUGCGACGAC
rnacentral:tRNA from 1 species